ensembl:lncRNA
AUGUCUUUGACUCUAACUCUUCCCUUUAUAAUCCCCACUACAUCUAUAUAUAAAAAGCUACAUUCCUCACCACUGAACUACUGGUUUAAACUCUCCUGCCCAUACAUCAGUUCCAAACAAAUUGCAUCUAUGGAUCUACAAGGACACACAUCCAACACAAAUCUAACAACUACUAUCGCAAAAAGAUCCUUUAUCAUACCCCAAGGACUGCACAUCUGCUUCAUCACAGACUCAAUAUGUCGAGCUAUUAAAGACUACAUGCCAAAUGCACAAUCCUGGGUGCACCCAGGAACAACCCUUCUAAGAUCUGCAAUGCAACACAUCAACCACUUUAAGACAGUACACAACAACAGCAUUGUGAUCAUUCACAUCGGAACAAAUGACAUUGCAAGUGGAGCACCUGCAUCAGUAGUCGUCCAACGCAUGAAAACUCUCAUAACAAGAAUCUCCCUCACUAAUCCUCACAUCCUUUACUUUGGAAUCAGUGCUGUCUUACCACGUCCCACAGAUAACUCUACAACUAAAAACACUGUCAAAGACUUCAACAGCUUGCUUCGCUACUGGACUGAACAAACAACAAACAUAAUUUUUCUGAACACAACAAAACCAUUCCUCAAAAGUGGAAAAAUACUCCAUCACCUAUACAAGCAAGAUGGGCUACACCUCACUACACAAGGAAAACAAAGACUUUUUGCCUACUUCCAGCGUUUCCUCUGGCAUUUUUGCCGUUUUCAAACUCCCACAAAAAAAUGUUUAACUAACUAACAUGAAAAAGUUUCACAUCUCUUGUUCAACUUGUUACUUUUUCCUGAAAAAAUAAACAAAUUUUCUAUUCACAAAACAUCUGCCUUUUCAUUGAUUUUCAUUUUGCCUCUUAAGUAAUCACUACAUUUCUACAACUCUAUCAAAUACAAGCUUAAAAAUACACAACUUCACUAUCUUUUUGUUUAAAUGUAGAUUGUUAGUGCAUUCAAGCUCUGCAUAAAUGCAUGCUUCUACUAAAAAAAUUAAAGCAGUUCACACCAAACUUUAACACAUACCAACAUAAUGAAAAUGCUAAAUUGCAAACAUAUUUUGAAUAUAUUCAAUAGAAUUGCAAGUACAAUUUAUUUUAAAACCUAAAAGUACCUAUUAAAUUCACCAUUAUCUACAUUAACACAUUUUUUUAGUUAAAUUACACCACAGAACAUUAUAUCACACUAAAACACAGAAAUGAUAGUUAUUCAAAUAUUUCUUUUUCAUUUUGAAAAUGUCAAAGGAAAAGGAGUCUAAUUUCCAUACAAACAAUAUCAACAUUUUAAAAAAAUCCAUCCACAAAACUCAGUCUCUUAGGCAAACUCUCUGGUAUUCAAACUAUAUUCAUUAAGAUGUCAAUGAUUUUUUUUUUUUUUUACCACAGUACAUAGCUUUUCUUUUUAAAAACAUAAUUUUGCUUCUAUUUACUUUCUGCAUCAUUCUCUUAGAAUCCCCUCCCUUCUGGUGAACCUUGUUAAUUUUCUAUCUAUCAUAAUGUCAUUUAAUUAAUGUAAUUAUUGCAUUUAAGAACACUAAAAAUAAUCAGAAAUGAAUAAAAAUAACUUACCUCAUAUUUAAAUAUUUAACAUGCUUCUUAAAAAACGUUGUCAUCUAGUAUGACAUCUUUUCCUAUGAUAUGACACUACAAACACCACACUUGUGAACAUACCAUCACACCAUAAAACAUUUCAGCCUAACCUGUCAUUAGCAGUUUGCAAGACACAUUUGCACAAUUUUCCAUGACUAUGUAAUUCAACAUACAAUUUUUAAUUAAAAAAAAUUAAAAUAAUAAAAAAUUUAGAGGUAUCACAUGAAAAAUAACAAAACUUAACACUUUUGUAACGGUUCCAUGUACAUAUUAUAUGCUUGACAAAGGACUAGUAACACAUCCAUAAAUAGAAUCCUUUGACUAAUUAACGUUUUCGCUGAAAUUGGCCACUUCAAAAUGAAGAUAUAUUUUUAUGUAUUGUUCUCUUUGUGUGUUUAUCUGUGUGUUAUGUGGGUGUAAGACAGGAUAGACAAAGACUAACAUUAAUAAAUGCUAUACAAUUACUAUUCAUGUUAAUUAAUAUAGUUAAUGAUAAUACCUGAAACCUUAUUGAAAGUGUUACCAAACUUUUAUGUAUUGUUAUGCAUGUGUGUCUCUUGAUGGUUCAGAUUAACCCUUUUAUAGCUGUAACCCUUAAAUCCAAAAUCCUGUUCCUGGCAAUCGACUGUCCAACAAAGUUUAACUCCAACCCUAAUCAAACACACCUGAACAGAGUUCGACACCCCUGUGCUAGAGGGUUACUGUGUAUGUGCCCACUGGGCACAGUUUUACUGAUGCCACCGAGGUGGCGUUGGCGCUUACGGCUCGGGCCCGCCAUCGCUGCUUGCAGCUAUAUUUAUUAUUAUUUUUUUUAUUUUUCUUUCGACUAAACGGGGCUUUUUGGGGGCCUUAAAGUGCUCAAAAACUCUUGAAAAUUGGCACACACAUUGGAAUCUGCGGUCAUUAGGACGCCGCAGAGACUUGGCCCCCGGCGUGGCACAGGGACUCUACGGCGCCCCCUGGAACACAGUCAGAAAUCUUGAACCAUAGCUCACACAAACUUGCAUGUAUUUAUAUGAAACUCUGUACACUUAUAGAUCUCAUUGAGCCGAACAACUUUUGCACUCUAUGUCAUAGGCUCCGCCCAACAGGAAGUCAGCUAUUCAGGGUUGUUUAAAAAGUGCAUGCUCUGGAAUUUGAUAUACUCCUCUGAGGAUUUCCACCCAUUCGCCACAAAACUCUGUGAACAUGAUCUCAAGACAUUGGGGAUGAAAAAUUGCCAGGGGAUUUUUGAUAUCUCGAACGGUUUGCUCGUGGCGAGGCGUUGAAAAAUAGGGCGAGAAAUGAGAAACAGGAAGUGCCUAAUAACAUCCACAUAUUUUAAUCAAACUUCAGGUGUUUGUUCGUUGUAUGAUGCCGAUCGCAUAGAUAUCACUAUUAGGAGCCAAAGUUAUAGCGCCACCAACUGGCAGCAAGAAAUGUGUCAUUUUCAAAAUGCUUUGAAUUCAGCAUCUUAUUUUUACUCGAUUUGCUUCAAACUUCAUCAGAAUAAUGACAAAACACAGAUGAUGUAAAUAUGUUGUGGGGAUAUUGAUAUCUAAUAUCGUGUUGCCAUGGCAACGUGUCAAUCUUGAAUAUUCUGUUCUGGUGAUUUUGAGGCAGAUAACAUGCUCAGAAUAACAUGAAACGCAAAACAUAUAUCAGAAUUAAUGAUAGAUAUACAAUGGCAAAAGAUCAUAAUAGGGCGUGGAGGGGGCACUCUAUAGCGCCACCUUUUGUCAAAAGUGGGGGGCUUAGUUUUAGCUACAGACACCAAACUCAGUACAUAGAUUGUUCUUAUCAAGACGGACAACUUUCCAAUUCACAGUUAUCAGCUACGACCAACAGGAAGUUGGCUAUUUUGGUUUAAAUGUGGAUUUUUGGAUAAAUAUUGCUGUGAAUUAAUGCAUACUCCUCAGAGGAAAAUGACACUAUACACACCAAACUUUUUCUACAUGAUGCCAAAACACUGAGGAACUUAAAUUGCGAAUGGAUUUUGGAUAGCUUGAACGGUUUUGCCGUGGUGAUUUUUUGAAAUAACAGUAAAAAGGGAAACAUUAAUUGUCUUGUAUUUUUAAAUUGCAGCUUGCAAACACUUCAAACCCAUUUUUCAUACAUAGAACAAGUCAUUCUGAGGAAAUAUGCAUAGUUUCACGAUUUUACAACACUGUAUGGAUAACAGAAAAUUAAAAAACUGUCAGACAUCUGAUCUCACUCUCUAAGGCCACUCUCUCUCUGUGUGAGAGAAGGGAGGGGUUUGGUGACUGAGUGUGUGUGCUGUUGGUGACUGACUAAGUGACUGACUUUGUUGUUGGUGACUGAGUGUGUGAAGGGAGGGGGGUGGGGGUGCUUGAGGGCCUGCCUGACAGAGAGAGAGAGAGAGAGAGAGAGAGAGAGUUAACAUCUCUUUAAUCACCAGAAGAAAAAAAAAAGAAAAAAAAAAUCAGUAAUUGUGUGUUGUCGUUUUUUAUUUUUUCAUCAUUACAGCUUAAGAAAUCUCUUAGGCCUUAUCCUUUUCUCUCAGUUUUGGGGCCAAAAAAAAAAAAAAAAACCUAGUACAAUUUGUAGGGCUCAGACAACAUUAUUUUUACAUAAUUAGGUUAAGAAUUAUGUUAAUUGCAACAUAAAAAGAUUUUUUAAUAAAAAUACAUACACAUGGAUAUAUAUUUAUAUUAUUCUGUAAAUAAUUUGAAACUUAUUUGGUACUGACCUAUGACAGACAUUCUGUGACAUGACAUUUACACAAUCUCAUGGAUGUAACAGUAAAACAGUUCAGCUCACAGAUGAAGACUAAGCUGUAAUGCAGGCAAAAAAAUAUUUUUACAAAGUGCGUAUAGAUCAAUAAAAUUGUUAAAAAAAUGUUUUUUUCAUCGAGUGCAUAAUAAUAAUAAUUAGUCACAUUGAUAUUCUGGUGAUAUUUUUUUCCAAGCACAUUUUACCAAUUCCAAAUCACAUCAAUCUUAAUAAAUACUAAACAUUUGUUAUUUAAUCAUUUAUGAGUGAUAUAUAAUUGUCCUUGAAGGCUGGAAGUGAAAAACUCCUUAUAUUCAGGAGUGUUGAAUUAUUAGGCAUGUUUUUUUGCCAUGCAUUGGUCAUAGAGCUCAUUGUAGCGGUGUCUCAGGUGUUGAAAUAGAUUUGUUAUACAUUAUACAGGUUCACACGUACUCUGUCUGCAGUGCGUAUACAGUAUGUGUAUGCGGUGCAGAAGCAGCAGCGAGAGCGCAUUAUUGUAACGCGAAAGAACAUUAAAAUAAUGCGCGAGUGCGAAUCUAUCCGCUCACAAAACCAGACACGCGUGCUCAGAUACAUGCUCUAGUCCGGAGAGAAUGCGCGCACUUUAAACGUGCUUCCUCUCGCUGUGUCAUGUGAAUUCACAACUCUCUCUGUGCUCAUGCGCUAGAUAUUCAUUCUUUUCGCACCUUUUUAUUUCUAACCUUUUCUGUUCACAUCUUUUACCGUGUGCAGUGUGAACGCUCUGAUCCAUUAACAUGGGCUCGGAAAAAAAUACGCAUCACAGACAGAGCUUGUAAACCUGGCCUUACGUAGGCAUAUGCCCAGUCUGUCCUGUUCUCGCGCUCCAUUUAGGCGCCCUUCAUUCUGACUGGUUCAGAUAGCAGCACCAAACGUGCAGUGUGUAAUACCAAUCAUGGCCACCACCAGGUGGAGCUAUAGGAUUACUUUUAAAUAAUUGUUGUUGAAACGUGUAUAGAGCAUUUAAAUCAUUUAUAAAAAUCUUUCAAAAAAAUAUGUAUUCUUAAAAAGCUAAUGAAUUUUACUGGUAAUAUAGUUUUAUAUAAUCAUUUCACAAAUGUUUAUAGAUCAUUAAAAGGAUUUUUAACACUGGUUAUAGAUCAUGAAAAGUGUUGUCAACAAUUUAUAAUAAGCUCUUUUUGGUUUGCAUUAAUUAAUGCAAUAACUAACAUGAACUAACAAUGCACAAUCUAUUUUUCAGAUCUUUUAUUAAUCUUUUUUUAUGUUAGUUAAUCCUAUCAUUAAAAAUAUUAAUAUUCAUGUUAUUUCACAGUACAUAAACUAAUCUUAAAAUAAAACUGUAAAUAAAAAAAAUUAGUAGUAAAUAAUGUAUUAAAAUAUUUUUAACUAAGCUUUAAUUAACAUUAAU